rnacentral:lncRNA from 1 species
ACACUCGCUGGCAGGCUGGGUGCCGGAUCCCUCGCCCGCCCAGGAAAGUGGGUUACGGAGGGAAGAGGCUCAGCUCAGAUGCUGGCAAAGGAGCAUCCAGCCACAGAGACCAGAGAACACCUUCCUUUUUGCUGCCUCGUCUCCAUCCUUUCUAGAGGGUUUUAUAUUUGCACUCUCUCUUUUAAAAUUUUGUUUCUUUGACUUUUCCCCACCUCUGCUCUGGUUUUAUGAGGGCUUUGUUAAGUCUUAGACGGGAAAGAGACUGAGUGAGGGAAAGAAAGAGGCAAAGUGGAAAGGACCACAAAUUGGCAAAGCCUGUUCUGCUUUUGCUGUGGAUGAAAGUCCUCUGUUUGUAAAGCCCUCUCGGCGUGAGCAGCACGCGCACACCCUCCAGAGUAGCCGGACCCUGCACCGCACCUCGGCGUGGCCACCAUGGUCGCCAGAGUUCAGCCUGAUCGGAAACAGUUGCCGCUGGUCCUACUGAGAUUGCUCUGCCUUCUUCCCACAGGACUGCCUGUUCGCAGCGUGGAUUUUAACCGAGGCACCGACAACAUCACCGUGAGGCAGGGGGACACGGCCAUCCUCAGAAACGGAAGAAACAUUUAAAAGACAUGAUUAUUUGACAGUAAAAUAUAAAGAUUUUCUGCAAAUUUCAAGGGAAAAAUGGCUUCUCUCCUAUAAAGCAUCUGGCACGCCUACAUUCACAAAGAAACUGUCAACAAUCAAAUGUACUCCUGACACAAUAUGUGAUUUUUCUACUGCUUAUAAUUCACUAUUUGAAAACAAACUUUUUGGGCAUGGGUCUACAGGAAGAGUUUGAGACAAUUAUGAAGUUUUCUUUUUCUGUACUUAAUUCACUAAAGGUAAUCAAAAUUUAUAGGUUACUAUUGAUACUUUAAGGUCUCUGGUAGGGCUGAAGUUUGAAUUUGUAACAAGUUCUCAGGUGAUACAGAUGCCUUAGGACUGGGCCAAACUUUGAGAAUUAUCAUUAAAUCCUUUAUCAAAUGUAUUUGGUAAAUAGUGGAGUAAAGUGUAUUAUGUAUUGUCUAUGAAUAUGGCAUAUUAUAUACAUUUUUAAAGGAUGCUUAUGCCCUUAUAUUGCUUGUUGUGGUUUAUGUCCUGAGGAACACAGCAGACAAAUCGCAUGUGACAAAUACAAAUUGUUAUGAUUUGUGUUUCUGUAAAUAUGAAACACAUAACAUAUAGCACACAUAAGGUGAUUGUUCUACAUAAUUUGACUUUGAAUAAAUUAUUUGUGGAAUUGUGGCAUGAACAACCAAAGAUGACCAAACUUGUCCACUAAAUCAGUUGGUGGGGAUAAAACAUUUGUGUUUUUUGAAGCUGGUUCCACAUAAUAGCAAACUCAGGCAAAAGAAGGAUUGGUGCAUUUUGCUGUGGUCUCUGAGAGCUCCAAGUACAGAUAUUUGUGACUCAUCUGAUGGGAGGUUGCCUUAAUGUGUACUGGUCCCCCUCGCUGUCAUCACCUGAGCCCCAGAGAGCCUACCUUUCAGGCCAUUACUUAUUUCCCCUGUUUUGUGAAUAACCUGCCUGUUAAUUUGUACAACUUAGAAAAGCUGGGCUCUAAUUUUGGAUCUGUCCUUGCAUGCUACAUGACUUUGAGAAAAUCUCUUAAAUAUUUUGAACUUCAGUUUUAUUUCUAAAAUGAUGAAAUGUAGUUACUCUGUGGGGUUGUUUUAAGGAGCCCGCAAGAGGUAAAGUAGUUUAAUUUGGUGAAUUGUAAAGUGCUACAGAAAGUAUAAAGUGUUAGAGGUUUUCCUACCACAUGUAGCGUGUUGUUUAGACUCUAGAGAGCUCUUUUUGCUUCCUUUUUUUUUUUUUUAAUUUUUUCAGAUUGGUAUUUUCCAAACUUGAAGGUGUAUCCAAAAUACCUGAAGUGCUCAUUAAAACACAGAUUACUUGGCCCUGGACUUCAGAGUUUCUGAUUCACUGAAACUCUGGUAGGUCUCUGGUGGGGCUGAAGUUUGAAUUUGUAACAAGUUCUCAGGUGAUGCAGAUGCCUUAGGACUGGGCCACACUUUGAGAAUUAUCAAGUCUUGCUGCUAGAAACGUGUUUUGCAGAUGAUCAUCUUUGGUAUCAUAUAGUCACUUGCUAAAACCCAAAAUCCCAGGGUUUGUUCCAGACCUACUGAAUCAGAAUCUGCAUUUUAAUAAGAUCCCAAGUGAUUCAUAAAUAAGCAUAUUAAAGUUGGAGAAAUGCUACUUUAGAGAGUUCACAAGCAUGGCUGCACAUUACACUCUACUGGGGACCUUUUAAAAAAUGAUGAAACCACAUAUCCCUGCUUUCAGAAAUUCUGAUUGAUUUAGUUUGGGGUGAGGCUUGGACAUUGGUACUUAAAAAAUGAUUUUGAUAUGUACCCAAGAGUUGAGAACUGCUGCUUUACUGGUGUAAAAAAUCUCUCUUACAGCCAUGUUCGGGGCAGCACUUAUUACAUAUGUACCAAAAAAAAAGUAUAGUCAUGGUAUGUGGUUUGAGAAACAUUUCAACAGCAAAGAUCUAUAAAUUCAGUUGGGAGAGAGGAAAGAGGUCAUCAUAGAUCCAUUUUUUUCCCCACACAAUCUCAUCCCUAUAGUGUCAUGGAAAAUGGAGUGAUUUCAUUUUACUAUGAAUCCGUUUUACAUAAUAUCUAUUGAAAUAGCAUUAAAGCUUGAUUUUUAAAAUUCUGGUGUCUUAUGGUCUCUAUAUUAGGUAAGAUAUGGAAGAUAUUUUAGAUUUUUUUUUUUUAAUGGGAGAAAAGAGACUAUAUUUAGGUAGAGAAAGUAUUGUCAGUCCUAACUUACUCAAACUGGCUUACUUCUGUGUACUUACGUUGUCAUAUUUGCCACAAAUGUGAUUUACAAAAUAAUAGCUAUAUGUUUGUAGGAUUCAUCUCAGCUUUUCAUAAUGGUCAAUCUUUAGCUGAAACUUAUAGAUAUGUAUUUAUAUAUUGAAGAUAAAGAAUUUUUAUCAAGGAUAUAAGUUCAGAAUAUUCAACAAGUAGAGUCGUCUCUUGAUAUCUGCCAGGGAUUGGUUCCAAGACCCCCCUCGAAUACCAAAAUCUGCAGAUGCUCAAGUUCCUAAUAUAAAAUGACAUAGUAUUUGCAUAUAACAUACGCACGUACUCCUGUAUACUUUAAAUCAUCUCUAGAUAACUUAUAAUACCUAAUACAAUGUAAAUGCUAUGUAAAUAGUUGUAAAUAAAAUGUAAAUGCUAUGUAAAUAGUUGCCAAUGCUCUGGCAAAUUCAAGCUUUGCUUUUUGGAACUUUCUGGAAUUUUUCUUCCACGCAUUUUCAGUAUGAAGUUGGUUGAAUCCGUGGAUACAGAAUCCAUGGAUAACAGAGGCCCUGCUGUAGUCAGAAGUCCAAGAUAUGAACAGCUUGAAAUAAUCUGAUCUAGUAAAUGAAUAUAACUGACAAUUACUUAGCCUACUACCCAAGCUAUUUUUAUGAUCGAGAUACCAUUUAUCCAAGUGUUUUGUUAACUGUAAAAUGGUAUAAAUGUAAGCUUUUGAUAAGGUUACUAUUGUUAUGUUCACAGAAGGAAAUAACUUAGAAAAUUAGAAAACAAUAAAAUAUGCUUUUUAUUUAUA